rnacentral:misc_RNA from 1 species
GGCAUAUAUUAGUCCCUUAGUGUAUCCCCAAAAGGUCAAUUCAACCCUUUAAAAAAAUUUUAGGCUUAAUUAAGUCCCUCGUAUUUCAAUUUUAGCCAAAUAAAUCUUUUAUAUUAUAAUUUUAAUUUAAUUAACAAAAAGUUAUAUAGAAAUGUGAGACUCACAAAUAAUGAUAUCAUAUUAUUUAAUAAAAAAUAAUUCAUUUAAAAAUUAAAAAAAGUUUCAAUCAAUCACUCUCUCCCGAUCUCUAAACCCCUAUAUAUAUAUAUAUAUAUAAAGCUGAACUUUUAGUUCAAAUCGAAUUGAAUUACUCAAAUUAAAAAUUGAAUUUUCUAUAAAAAAAAAUAUAAUUAAAUCACACCGAACUUUCUAAGUUCGAUUGGAUUCAAAGCUGUCACAUUUGAACUCAAAUCAAAUGCCUAAUUUCUUCCCCAAAUAGCAUACCCUUAAUUUCUUAUCUCAUUUCCCAAACACAAUUACACAAAUCAUCCAUAAC